rnacentral:misc_RNA from 1 species
UUUUGAACGCACCUUGCGCUCUAUGGCAAUCCGUAGAGCAUGCCUGUUUGAGUGCCGUGAAAUCUCCCACCCCAAGCGGUUUUUACAUGAAACGGCUUGGCGGAUGGGGUCUGGAUGGGUGCCUCUGCCUGCGCUACCUAGCACAGGCUCGCCCGAAAUGCAUGAGCGCCUUGAGACACUUUGCAUCCGCCUCUCUGUUUGGGAGGAGGCGGCCAAGCAGUGUUUUUCUCCUGGCAUGGCAUGAUACGUCAUUUGCUAUGUCACCUAAAGGAGGAAUGUUUGGUUGUGUCUGCGUGUGCUUCGAACUUGCCUCUGUGGCACAUCCCAAUUUCACUUCUGGUCUCAAAUCAGGUAGGAUCACCCGCUGAACUUAAGCAUA